ACAGAGAAAAAAAAAGUUGUGUUUUUCACAUUUUCUAAUCUUAUUUUGAAAGUUUGGAAAAUUUGGUAUAUUUGAGUGCUAAAAUAUUUAAUUUGAAAGCAAAAUGUUUGAUUUGAUAGUUUUUAUCUCAGUGUAAAAUUGUUAUUUUUACAGUGGAAGCACUCAGAACAAAAUUUUUAAAACAGUCAAAUCUACUUUCAUGUUUCAUUUUCUGGCAUCACAGAUCAUAAAAAAAAAAUGUAACUGGCAGCCCGCUUCGAUCUGUCAACCAAAAUUUGAAGAAAAUAAAGCGGAGAAACUUUUCCCGGAGGGGUUUCUGGAAAAGAUUGGAAAAUAUACUGUAUGUAAAGCACAACCAGCGAGGUAAAGGCAAAUUGAACAGCUGAAGAACGAAGAGACAAUGUACGGCAGUUCCAACCACGCGAUCAUGUUCAGAAUGCAUUUACAGUUCCUCGUUUCGGCUCGAAAAAUUAUCUGGCGUGGAAUUUUUCCCAAUCAGACCGAUGUUUCUCUACGCCGAAGCCUACGCCCUAUUGCCUGCUUCCCUUACGCAACCAAAUUGUUCGCUUCCGGCUCGUGGCAGUACCAUAUGAUGUGAGCCCCUGCAUGUUUACUCCGGCGAAGUAGAGCUCCUGCGCCAUGAAGAAAAAAUGUACCACGAAAGGAAAGGAGAAUAACGUGACCGGUGAGUAGAUGUUUGGACAGAGUAUUUUGGUACAAUAACAAAAUCUAAACGAGGCUAAAAAUUCUACGAUUCCAUUUUCAUUUCAACUUUAUUUAUCUCUAUCCCUGUAGGACGACAAUGAUGACGGAGAUGUAAAUUACGAAAAGCUUUCAAACGGUCGCUACGUGAAAAGGGUGAAGGAUCGUUGCCAUGCAUAGGCGUUCGUUUGCUUCCGAUGGUCGUGUACUAUGUAUAGUGCUCAUUUCGCCCAAGUACAAAUAGAAUGCUCGUCUAGUGCCACCUCCAGUAAUAAAAGGUUACAAUCGGGCGAAUUCCAUAUCCAUUUGGAACUGCGCGUAAGCUGUACGAAUGUGUAUUAGAUGGCCCACUCCGGAUCCUGCAUUUUCCGGUCGCUUUGAAGAAUGAUGCGUGGAGCAAAAAGAGAAUCGCCGCUGCAUCAAAGAGCGAUGCCUUUCGGAGUGCAUCAAAAUUCCGUGGCAUUCGAAGUCGUGGUAAACGAUCACCAUCGCUUAUUCUGGCACCACCAAAGCAAGGGAAUGGAAUAUAGGAAUAUUCGAAACACUGAUAAUAAGCAUAAUUCGUUCCUGUUGCGGCCAUCGUUCUAAUUUUUGGGUGACCGGUUGAACCAUCUUGCAAAUUUGGUGUGCACUUCGUGAUAGUUCCCGUUACAAUCCACUAGUAAUUGUGUCUAUGUGAAAAACGAGAGCUGUAAAUACGCUCCAUCAACUAUCCAUUAACUAUUAUUAUGAAGCAGUUAAGAAAAAUA